GUGUUCACUUUGGCAGCACGUACACAAAAACUGGACAAAACAGAGAACGUUACCAUAGCUCCUGCAUAAGGAUGACAUGGAAAUCUGUGAAACGUUCUGUAGUUUU